AGCAUUUUUAUCUUCCCUUUGAAAUCUUACUCCUUGAGGAGCUCACCGUAGAAUCGCCUAAUCCGGUUCCCGAUCACUUCAUCGUCGCGCAUAUUUUUCCUUGGACAUGCAAUUUGUCCAAAAUUCUUGGUUUGCAACCGAAGCAGGGAAAGAAAGAGUUUUUUUGCACAAGGGAAAGAAAGAGUUCGAAGCGAAGAAAAAGUGUGCAACGUGAUAUCCUAAGACCGAUCGAGUAGUCCUAGACGGGACCGGACCGGAGUGCGAUCACCUCUACUCGCUUUUCUUAUACUAAGAUUUUUGUGUGUGAUAUUAUUUUUUGAGCUCUGAUUCGCCUUCACACUUGGUCCCUUUCCACUUUGGUACUUCUCUCUCUCUCUCUCCUCUCUCCCUCUUUCGAGUCGAAAGCUUUCCCUUUACUUUUUUUUUCUUUUGGUCAUAAAUCGUUAUGACUGAUAAAUAAAAAAAUCCGGCAAGUUGUCCUCUCUAAAAAAAUUAAUUAAUUAAUGAAAAGGCAGAACCCGGCACUUUCGCGCACAGCCCAUUUCCUGCACGCCUCUUUCUUUCAGCCCAGCUGGCUUCCCCGUGCGCUUCCAGCCCAACCUUUCUCACAGCCCAGCUCCCUUUUCCACAUCUCAUUCAAACCGGCCCAUUCCAUUCAAUUUUCUCACGCACGAGAUGAGGAGAAGACACGGGCAGCGAGCAAGCGGAGGGGCUCUUCUGCUCCUUCCUCAUUUUUUUUCCUCUCGUCCGAUUCCCUCCCAUUUCCGCCGCUAACAGCCUCCAAGCCGUGACCGGACACGCCUUCUUCCAGCCUGAUUCUUCCGAUCGAAGAGGCUGAGGAGCUGUGCACUCGUCUGGCUCUCGUCCUUCGAGUGUUCGAGUUUCCCAGUCGACGUCCUGUGGAGCUUGCCUCCUCCCCAGCCAGUAACUCCUCUCUAACCAGGUUUCGGUGCGAGUUCGAGUACUGAAUGAAUUAACGUUCUCCCUACAGUCGAUGCACCCAAUCCGUUCGAUAAAAUGCCUGAACUGCCUGAACUAGAUUCGCAUGCGUUUUCUCUGAUUCUGGGGCUGUUGUGGGUGUGUUGUUGGCAUGGUUUACUUGACAGAAGGACUUGAUCGAUUAUUAAAACUCGAGUCCAGCCUGCCUUACUUCCCCCGAAACCCCCGAAUCUGACAGUGGUCUCCUGGUUCUUUUGUUUCUCGUUUGAUUGUUAUGGCCAGUUGUGUUUAAUCGUCCGCAAAACCGUGACUGUGGAUUCGUAGUGCGAAUAGUAAUCUUCUUCCCUAGUUUUUGUCUGUCAUUCCCUCAUUGCUUGUUUAUGUGCUUCAUGUUCUUGACGCGCCUGAGUAUACCGGUGGGUUGUUAGCCUGCAAAAUGGCAAACCCCGGUGGCCGUUAGCGUGACGGCGGCGCUAUAGGUCCGGUGAUGGUAUGGACUCCCGGAAGUGGUGGUUGAGGACGGUCAGGAACCGGCAAAAGCCGGGAAAGGCCGAAGAUGGAACUCGGUCAUCAAGGCUUGUAGACGACUAAGUUUACUUGGGUUUUAGAGGUCUGAGGCUUGCUUGGUCUGGUUUAGUUUGGACUGGAUUCGUUUCAGGUGAACUUGUGCUCAACUCAAUAUUAUUGGGCAUGGGCUCCUUUUAGUAGGCUUGAAAUAAGAGCCCAAGCUGGCAUGGUCUUGGGCUCUAACCCAUCAAGCGGGUAUGGUCCAUGUCCGGCCCGGGUCUCUGUUUACAGAAAAUAAUAAUCAUAAAAAGAUUUAAAUACUUUUAAAAUAAUAAUAAUUUUUUUUUUAAAAAUCCGAAAGGAAAAAUUAUUUUAAAAUUUAAAAAUAAUUACAAAAUUAAUUAAGAAAAGGCCGCUUCUUGUUCUUUUAGUGGAAUUCAUGCCAUUGCUUGGUUGAUCAUUUGGCGACUUGCGUGCCCUAUCGUGUGCUUAAUUAUACUUGCUGGUGAAUGUCUUGAUUUCGUUUAGUGAUGCAUGUCCUUCGGCGGUCAGUUUAGAAGGAAGAACUAGAAUUUAAUUAGGGGUUAAUCACGUUAGCAAUUGCUUUGUGAACAACAGUGGGGUUAAUGAUCAUUAAUUUUAAGUAAUGAACCUUUAAUUUUUUUUUUUUUUUUUUUGGUCUGUGAACCUUUAGUUUGAUUAGAAGGUGGUUGGGCUUGCCGGAGUGCAUGAGCGAAAUCGGAUUGCUUGAUGGUUUGCUGACUAGUGAAUUUGCUAAUCGAUUGCUUUGAUUGAAUACAUGAUGUGAGUGCAGGAUAAAAUGGAUGUUCGAAAUCAACGAGGAGGUGGCGGUUGAAAGGAGCCAAAAGUGGAAGACCGAUGUCCAUUUCAAUCUUAAUCUUGUAAUACCUAGCUUAGGUUUAGCUCAUUAUAAUACGAUUAGCCUGGUCAAUCAUUUUAAAGUAAGUUCAAACUCCAAAAUAAAAACAAAUCAGACUUAGCCACACCAUUUCAAUAUAACGAUUAGGGUAGCACGGCUUAGGCUUUACCUAAAUCGAUUGACUAGACUUAGGCUCGGCGUUGUUUCAAAUAGCAAGCUUUCGAGAGAUCAUGUCUAGCCUUCAAGAGAUCAUGUCUCGAGGCUAAAAAAUGAGGCUGUGCAAUAUUCUUUGCCCAAUGAUGUAUUGAGCUUUUUUUUUCGCGCACUUAGAAAGAUGCUUUCAAUUAGUCGAGUGUUUAAUUCUCACAUCGUCUUUCAAUAUAUUGAUUGUUAAUUC